rnacentral:rRNA from 1 species
ACCGGCGCACGGGUGCGUAACGCGUAUACAAUCUGCCUAUAUCAGGGGGAUAACACAGCGAAAGUUGUGCUAAUACCGCAUAAUAUUGUUUUUUGGCAUCAAGAGAUAAUCAAAGUAUUUAUACGGAUAUAGAUGAGUAUGCGUGUCAUUAGCUAGUUGGUAAGGUAAUGGCUUACCAAGGCAACGAUGACUAGGGGUUCUGAGAGGAUGAUCCCCCACACUGGUACUGAGAUACGGACCAGACUCCUACGGGAGGCAGCAGUAGGGAAUAUUGGGCAAUGGAAGGAAUUCUGACCCAGCCAUGCCGCGUGCAGGAUGAAGGCGCUAUGCGUUGUAAACUGCUUUUGUCAGGGAAGAAAAAGGCUAUGCGUAGCAAAUUGACGGUACCUGAAGAAUAAGCAUCGGCUAACUCCGUGCCAGCAGCCGCGGUAAUACGGAGGAUGCAAGCGUUGUCCGGAUUUAUUGGGUUUAAAGGGUGCGUAGGCGGUCUAAUAAGUCAGUGGUUAAAUUACCUUGCUUAACGAGGGAGAUGCCAUUGAUACUGUUAGACUUGAAUACUGUUUGGGUAGGCGGAAUUGGUAGUGUAGCGGUGAAAUGCUUAGAUAUUACCAGGAACACCGAUAGCGAAGGCAGCUUACUGAAGAGAUAUUGACGCUGAGGCACGAAAGUGCGGGUAUCAAACAGGAUUAGAUACCCUGGU